rnacentral:rRNA from 1 species
UACGAAGGGGGCUAGCGUUGUUCGGAAUUACUGGGCGUAAAGCGCGCGCAGGCGGUUCGAUAAGUUGGGGGUGAAAUCCCCGGGCUCAACCCGGGAAUUGCCUUCAAGACUGUCGAGCUAGAGGACGAGAGAGGUGAGUGGAAUUCCCAGUGUAGAGGUGAAAUUCGUAGAUAUUGGGAAGAACACCGGUGGCGAAGGCGGCUCACUGGCUCGUUUCUGACGCUGAGGCGCGAAAGCGUGGGGAUCAAACAGG